rnacentral:rRNA from 1 species
AGAGUUUGAUCCUGGCUCAGGACGAACGCUGGCGGCGCGCCUAACACAUGCAAGUCGAACGAGCGAGAGAGAGCUUGCUUUCUCGAGCGAGUGGCGAACGGGUGAGUAACGCGUGAGGAACCUGCCUCAAAGAGGGGGACAUCAGUUGGAAACGACUGCUAAUACCGCAUAAGCCCACAGCUCGGCAUCGAGCAGAGGGAAAAGGAGCAAUCGGCUUUGAGAUGGCCUCGCGUCCGAUUAGCUAGUUGGUGAGGUAACGGCCCACCAAGGCGACGAACGGUAGCCGGACUGAGAGGUUGAACGGCCACAUUUGGACUGAGACACGGCCCAGACUCCUACGGGAGGCAGCAGUGGGGAAUAUUGCACAAUGGGGGAAACCCUGAUGCAGCGACGCCGCGUGGAGGAAGAAGGUCUUCGGAUUGUAAACUCCUGUUGUUGAGGAAGAUAAUGACGGUACUCAACAAGGAAGUGACGGCUAACUACGUGCCAGCAGCCGCGGUAAAACGUAGGUCACAAGCGUUGUCCGGAAUUACUGGGUGUAAAGGGAGCGCAGGCGGGAAGACAAGUUGGAAGUGAAAUCCAUGGGCUUAACCCAUGAACUGCUUUCAAAACUGUUUUUCUUGAAUAGUGCAGAGGUAGGCGGAAUUCCCGGUGUAGCGGUGGAAUGCGUAGAUAUCGGGAGGAACACCAGUGGCGAAGGCGGCCUACUGGGCACCAACUGACGCUGAGGCUCGGAAGUGUGGGUAGCAAACAGGAUUAGAUACCCUGGUAGUCCACACUGUAAACGAUGAUUACUAGGUGUUGGAGGAUUGACCCCUUCAGUGCCGCAGUUAACACAAUAAGUAAUCCACCUGGGGAGUACGACCGCAAGGUUGAAACUCAAAGGAAUUGACGGGGGCCCGCACAAGCAGUGGAGUAUGUGGUUUAAUUCGACGCAACGCGAAGAACCUUACCAAGUCUUGACAUCCUGCGACGCACAUAGAAAUAUGUGUUUCCUUCGGGACGCAGAGACAGGUGGUGCAUGGUUGUCGUCAGCUCGUGUCGUGAGAUGUUGGGUUAAGUCCCGCAACGAGCGCAACCCUUAUGGUCAGUUACUACGCAAGAGGACUCUGGCCAGACUGCCGUUGACAAAACGGAGGAAGGUGGGGAUGACGUCAAAUCAUCAUGCCCUUUAUGACUUGGGCUACACACGUACUACAAUGGCGUUAAACAAAGAGAAGCAAGACCGCGAGGUGGAGCAAAACUCAGAAACAACGUCCCAGUUCGGACUGCAGGCUGCAACUCGCC